CCUACGGGAGGCAGCAGUAGGGAAUCUUCCACAAUGGGCGAAAGCCUGAUGCAGCAACGCCGCGUGGGUGAAGAAGGUCUUCGGAUCGUAAAACCCUGUUGUUAGAGAAGAAAGUGCGUGAGAGUAACUGUUAACGUUUCGACGGUAUCUAACCAGAAAGCCACGGCUAACUACGUGCCAACAGCCGCGGUAAUACGGAGGUGGCAAGCGUUAACCGGAUUGAUUGGGCGUAAAGGGAACGCAGGCGGUCUUGUAAGUCUGAUGUGAAAGCCUUCGGCUUAACCGGAGAAGUGCAUUGGAAACUGGGAGACUUGAGUGCAGAAGAGGUAGGUGGAAUUCCAGGUGUAGCGGUGAAAUGCGUAGAGAUAUGGAAGAACACCAGUUGCGAAGGCGGCUCGCUGGUCUGUAACUGACGCUGAGGCUCGAAAGCGUGGGUAGCAAACAGGAUUAGAUACCCCAGUAGUC
rnacentral:rRNA from 1 species